CUUGUCCAUUUCUAUUGAAGUUUUUGACAGUUACCACCUCGUUGUUCCAAAAGAUCACAAAACCUCCACGUUGUCCAUUGGAAGGCACCUCAAUCAUCUCUGUAAAACUAAAAGCUUCCAAUAUUGAGAGGUGGCUUUCCAUUCUUGUUUCUAGAAGAGCGACUAGACACGGCCUAUGUGAGUCCAUUAGUUCCGUAAAGUUUCUGGUGAAAUUUAUGUUAUUUGCACCUCUAACAUUCCAAAUGAUUAUGUUGUUCGGCUGGUACAUGGGAAUAUUAUUUGGUGGAUUGGUGUUUUGCAUCACUCUUUGGGAUGGAAUCAUAAUUACUAUCUUUUAUCCCACUGUUGGAUCCUGAGGUGGACGGAUGUCCAACGAGCACUUGUAGAAUGUCAUUGGGAAGAUGAAGAUAUACUUCUUGUCGAGUAUCUCCCUGAAUAUCAAUAUUUUUACCUUGUUUAGACUUGAAAGAGUCACAGCUGGUUCCACUAAGUGUUCUAAGUCUUCCACUGCCUCGUCUCCCUCUUGGUUCCCUACUUGAUUUGGUACGUUCAUUUGUUGAACUUGCUCUUCCAUGGGAUCUGGUUGUUGGUCUGGAUGGUUGGGGAGGACUGGAUCAUUCCAUUGGAUGAAGACUGGGUUGAGGAGCAUCAUGUCCUCCGGUUCAAAGAAGGGUAUUGAGGGGAGAGUUCUGUAUGACUUGUUGGUUUGGGUGAUGUGAAAUGUUCCGCAUUGGUUGCAUGUUGUUCACCAAGUUUUGGUUCAUGUUGGGAGCUAAUGGUUGGAGUAUAUUGUUUAACCAUAUUUGGUUCACAUAAUUGUUCAUUGCUAAGUUCAUACCAUNNNNNNNNUAAUGGAUGGAGUAUAUUGUUUAACCACAUUUGGUUCACAUAAUUUUUCAUUGCUAAGUUCAUGCCCUCCGAUAUGAGUUGGGCAAGGAAGUGAGUGUUUUGUAUCACUAGGAUCGAUUCCUGGCCAUUGAUUUCUAUAUUGAAAAUUAUUGCAUGGCCUUGAAGUCCCAAUUCUAUCCACGACUGGGCAAAGUGAUUUGGUGGUGUUGGUGGUUGGGCAUAGAUUGCCGGAUUUUGUUGGGGAUGGGGAGGGAAGUUGGAAAGUUGUUCAUAUUUUGGUUGCGUGAUAGGCGGAAUAUUUGGAGGAGUCGGUAUCUUCUCUCGAGGGAUAUGGAGGUUCUAGCCAUUUUUUGAAGAUGAGAUCGUGUUUAUAGGGGGUGGAGGAGUGGACGAAGUAGUAGUAGUUCUAAUGAUUGGCUCUAUUUGUAAUUGGGAGGCACAUACUUGCGUGUUUUUUAUAACAAAAUCUCCCAUGGAGAUGUCAUUUGCCACUUGGCCGUG
rnacentral:lncRNA from 1 species